CGUCACCACAACAGCAUAUGCCAAUUACUGUGGGCCCUUUUUUACCUAACCCACCCUGUCAACUUUCCCUGUGGGAGGAAACCGGAGUACCCGGGGAAAACCCACGGCUUUCGGCAGAGCGUUGGCUUUUACUCUUUUCACAUGGGGACUGGGUUCGAGUCGCACUGAGAAGGUACUUAGUGAGACUCGAACCUGCAGCCUCAGAGGUGAAAGGCAAGUGCGCUAACUACUUG
rnacentral:lncRNA from 1 species